rnacentral:lncRNA from 1 species
UUUUUAAACAAAUAUAUAUUCAAAAUUUAUAUCUAUAAAAAAAUAUAAUUUUGUAUGAAGUUUGUUGUUUAUAUAUCAAACUGGACAACUACAAUUGAACACAAUGAUUUUGUUAUGUGUUUAUCAAGAGUUUUUUUGAAAAUUUUUUAAGAUUUUUCAAGUAUUUAAAAAUAAUUUCAACAAUGCAAGAUAUUCCAAAUGAAAAAUUUUGCGAUUUUAAUGCUGCAGAAAAGGCUGCGAUGAAUAACUGCAAUACCCAUUUUUAUCCAAUUAGAGUUGAUUAAAAUUUGAAAGUUACAAUAAGAAAGUGAAGCAAGAAUCACAAAUUAAAAAUCAACCUUCAGAUUCAAUAAAUGCUUGCAGAUGGACAUGCAAACAUUUGGGCCACCAAAAACCUUAUCUUAUGAAGAAAAAUCAAGGUAAGCGCAAUAAUCAGGCAAUACUUCCAUGUGGCUGCAAAAUGUUUAUGUUUCAUAUGACAACCAACGACAAUGCUAUGGUGUUAAAAAAUUGUUUCUUGAACACAACCAUCCAUAUGGUAUAGAAGAAUUUUCUAUGUAUAGUUCACAGCGUCAACCAAAAGGAUUAUUAGAACAGCAGACAUUGAUGUUGAUUGAACAUGGGGCAAAUACAGCACUUGUGACAGAUAUCUUUAAUAGAAGCGGUUUGAAAACUAAACCUAGAGAUAUUUACAACAUAAAACAAAAGCUUAAAUUCAAAGGGAAAAGGUAGAGAUCUGAGUCCAUGAAAGAAAGAGAAAGUGGAUGCUUUGUUAAAAUUGGGGAUUGUGACACAGAGGGAAAUCAGUAAAUAAUUAGGCUUAAUUCAAAAGGCACUCUAAACUGUAAAGCAGAGGCUAGAAUUAAGAGGCCCGGCUAACUUUAAAACAUUCCACAUCUGAGAGAAAAUUUUCACACAUGCCAAAAGAACAACAUUUCAAAAAAGUUUCUGUGAGCUGUUUUGUUGUCACCUCAUCCAGGCUGGCUACAUUAUUUUUUAAUGAAGUAAAACACUUCUAAAUAUAAUUGUUGCUUAUAGAGUUAUUAAAUUUAAAAUGAAUAGACAAUCAGUACAUCGUUUUAUUAUCCUUGGGCAACUGAUUAUGAUGCAAAUGACCAUUUUACUAGCUGUCUUUUUUCUUUUGGGCUAAAUUCAUGACUUUUGUCUUCUCUUUUAUUUAUAUUUGUGUUUUAGAUUGUCUUUAGUGAUAAAUCAACAUGUUAAGUCCUUGAUAACUAGUGGCAGAAUGUUCGACGUUGCUCUGAUUAGAAACACUUCCAAAUUCCUGGUAAAAACUGUGAAGCAUCCAACAUCAGUAAUGGUGUGGUCUUUAAUCUCAGUUCAUGGUGUUAAAAGGUUGUAUAUAGUGGAGGGCACAAUAAGACAGCAACGUGUACUUUAUGUUAAACUUACUUGUGUUCUGAAUUCUAAUCUGCACGUUAUUUUUUUAUUUUCAGGUGUUACUGUUAUUGAAUUAAUAUUAAACUUAUGUUAAACUAAAAUUGAACUAUUGAACUUUUCAAGUAAUAAACUGUCAACUAAACUAUAAAAUAGUAGUUCCAGUUCUGGCAAAUCCAGUUUGAGAUUCACUUCUAAGCACUAGGUUAUUGGAAAGCCAAUUUUUCAGUUAUCUACAGAAAGAUUGUAUGCUGGACAAAGACAUGUAUGCUGGAUGUAAUUUAACUGCUCCAGUUUCAUUAUUUAAGUGAAAAGAGAAGUCUUCCUGAAAGUCUUGUGAUGCAUUAAUUUGUACUUGGAUGAAAUCCAGGAUACCAAACAGCUGGUUGAUGUGUCAGAAAACUGUCAACAGAACUAUCUGGCUUUAAAGGUACACAGAACACGGCAACGCAAAAGUGACAGGAUGAAAGAAGACAAGUUUAAAAGUGAUCUUGAAGAAUUGUUUGGUAUUGCGACAUUGGAUAUGAUGACAGAAAUAUAGAACAAACAAGAUUAGUAUUUUUAAUUUUUUUCUUGCCUCAAGAUUGGAGCAGAUGUAAACACAGCAGCAGCAAAAAAAAAAAAAAGCAAGAAAAAGCAAUGAGAGGAACAAGAGAGAAAGAGAAAAAAAAAGAGAGAGACAAAAAAAAAUGAUAUAAAGAACGCUCGACCAAAUGGCAUAAACGAAACAGAAGGUGAACUUUCUUUGUUGACAUCUAAUUCAGAAUCACAAGAAGAUGAGGAGUAUCAGCCAACUCAGCCAUGUAUGCCAACAGUGUCAACAAUCAACAGAUUCAACAGCUUCUACUUCAUCACUAAAAAAGAAGUUUAAGAAUAUCUUCCAGUUACCUGAAGUUGUAGAUGAAUAUGUAAUAGAUGCAACUUGUAAUAAAAGUUUAAGAAAAUAAUUGCUUGCAAGUUAGAUACAAUGAUUGUUUGUUUCCCCUUCAUAACUGGACUUGCCAAUGUGAUAAUGCUACUGGUUAUGGAGUUCCAUGCUCUCAUGCUUUCUUUGCUAUUAGAGAAAAAAAUAUGAACUUAUCUGGUUUAGAUCUUAUUCAUAAA